CACCAGACGCACCACAGCACCUGGCUCGUCUCGCGCCGCACGGGUCGUCACGCUGUCCCGUGAGACCACCUGCCUCGCUGGCGGGUUUUAAUCAAGGGACUAAUUUUCUCAAAACGCAUCGUAAGACACAAGACGAGGAGCAAGCAAGAUUCACGACGACACAGUUCUUCACUGACUCGUAAACUCACUGACUGCAAAGUGCGUCUGUGCAGAGAAGACAACACGUGUGGUGCCGCCCUCCCGUGACUACUGAGGAGACAGGAAAGAGAAGAAACCAGGAAAGAAACAGCAAGAGGAGGAAGAGGAGGAGAAGGAGAAGGAGGAGGAAGAGGAGGACGACGACAAAAAAGAGUUGGGGAUUAAAGGGGAGGAGGACGAACAAGAGGAUGUACUGUGGUAAGAGGAGGAGGAGGAAGGCGUAAAUAGAAUAAAGGAAUAAAGAAAUACAAAAAAGAGUACGAAUGUAUAGGGAAGAAUAACGAAAUAUAUUGUCAAAUCAGGAAAAAAAGAAGGAAGAAAAGGAAAUAUAAAGGGAAUAGAAGCAAGAGUAGUGAAGCUUGAGAUAGAAUAAAAAAAAGAUAUGAAGGAGUAAUGGUUUACAAGAAGGAGUAAGGAAAUAUAAGGAAGAAUAAUGAGAAGUACAGAAGGAAAAGGAUAUAUAAUGAAAGAAAAUAACCGUAGAUAACGCCUAUGAAAUUUUACUGGCACACAUUUCUUUCCUCCUCUCCUUCGAUUACCUUCCAACGUGGCAUACCCUUCCCUUAGCUAACCCAGCCAUUAUCCAAGAGGCAGAGAGGGAGAAGAUACAGUGCUCACCUCCUCACCACGCCCUGCAAUAAAGAGCAACACCUCCUCCUUCAAU